ACUCACAGAGGCCAAGUACAAGGAACGGUAUCUACUCACAGAGGCCAAGUACCAGGAAUGGUAUCUACUCACAGAGGCCAAGUACCAGGAUUUGCUCUAAAUAUUCUCUCUACCUAGAAGGAACAGACUCACGCCUUGGGAAAUGGACAGAAGAAAUGAAGGGAAAUGGUAACACAAGCGCCAUUUCCAUGGCGGUGCACAUGACACGUACUCUUCAUAAGAUCUUUCCUACCUUCUCUCUCACUCAGUUCCAUGCCUCUUCUGCUUCUCAUUUAAAAAGAACAGGCUUCUAAGAGAUAACAAGAAAAUAUAACAAAAUGAAGCAUGGAUUCCAUGAGCUCAAGAGAAGGAAUAGAAUGGAGAUUUCCAGUUGGAGUCCUUUUUGUAUCUAAUGUUUGGCUGUGGUUCUUUGCAUCUGCUCCC